rnacentral:misc_RNA from 1 species
UCAAGCCUCACAGGCCACAGUGCAUC